rnacentral:rRNA from 1 species
CAGCGCCACGAGUGGCAAUCAUUUUUAUUUGGCCUAAAGCGUCCGUAGCUGGUUAGGUAAAUCUCUUGUGAAAUCGUUAAGCUUAACUUAACGGCGUGCAGGAGAGACUGCUUAGCUAGAGACCGGGAGGAGUCAGAGGUAUGCUGGGGGGAGCGGUAAAAUGCUAUAAUCCUCGGUAGACCACCUGUGGCGAAGGCGUCUGACUAGAACGGGUCUGACAGUGAGGGACGAAAGCCAGGGGAGCAAACCGGAUUAGAGACCCGUGUAGUCC